GCCCACAAGGAAAAUAACAGAACACCAUUGGCCAUCAUCUACAGCCCCCAGCUAAAACCUCUCCACGGCAUCAUCAACCAUCUACAACCUAGCUGGAGACAGUUAUUUCUUAAGCAAAUUGCAAGAGGGGAACUACACACCCAGGCAGGAAUUCCCCUUACUUUAGGUAGGGCUCCAAAUAUAAACAAUUGGGGCAAGCUUUUAUACCUUUUUUUUCUUAAAUAGACAAUAACGAUUAUAGCUGCAGUUUGUGUAUACAUUUUUGCCUGAUUUUUUAAAUAAGCUUUGCUGUACUUUCCAUUUUUUUAUUAUUAAAGCAAGGUCAAAAAACAGCAUUUCUGACCAUUUCCCCAGCCGCCUAGCACAAACCCUGCUUUUACAAAUCUUGCGCUAUUAGUUAAGAGGUACUGUCUUUUACUUUGUCACUUGACAACACAAAAUGGUUACUCCAAUUCCACGCACACCCCUUUUGUGCUUCUAGCACAACAAUCAAUUUUAAAGUUUUAUUUUUAUUAAACCUUGCAUUUUUGAUUUUCGAUUAAAUGGUUUAGCUCCAUGGGCUUUGGUUGGCUGCAACAACAACGCAUGGUUAGUACAGGAGCGACUAUAUUUGUAUUUGGGUAUAUUACAGGGGUGGUAGUGGUGGGAGAUGGUAGGGGUAGCAUUUGUGGCAGAAAAGGACCUUUGGAAUUCAUCAUUUGAAAGCCAGCUGGGCAGUGCUAUACAUGCUUAAGGUACUUGUCCAAAAGCACAGCAAGCAUUCCUUGGAAUAAACCCCAAAAUCCAAUGAAUGCCACAUUUCCAAGACUCGUCCCCAUAAUUUCCUUCUUGCUAGUAACCAAUACUUCGUUUUUUCCCACCAGUGCCAGCUUUUAAUGUUCUUUGUGGUCAGAAAUCCCUGGGCGUUGGUGG